AACGCGAAGAACCUUACCUACCCUUGACAUGGACGGAACCUGGCUGAAAGGCCGGGGUGCUCGAAAGAGAACCGUCGCACAGGUGCUGCAUGGCUGUCGUCAGCUCGUGUCGUGAGAUGUUGGGUUAAGUCCCGCAACGAGCGCAACCCUUGUCCUGUGUUGCCAUACCGAAAGGUGGAACUCGCAGGAGACCGCCAGCGAUAAGCUGGAGGAAGGUGGGGAUGACGUCAAGUCCUCAUGGCCUUUAUGUCCAGGGCUACACACGUGCUACAAUGGACGGUACAAAGGGUCGCUAACCCGCGAGGGGGAGCCAAUCCCAAAAAACCGUUCUCAGUUCGGAUUGCAGGCUGCAACCCGCCUGCAUGAAGCUGGAAUCGCUAGUAAUGGCAGAUCAGCACGCUGCCGUGAAUACGUUCCCGGGCCUUGUACACACCCGUAGAGAC
rnacentral:rRNA from 1 species